GAUGAAGAACGUAGCGAAAUGCGAUAAGUAAUGUGAAUUGCAGAAUUCAGUGAAUCAUCGAAUCUUUGAACGCACAUUGCGCCCCCUGGUAUUCCGGGGGGCAUGCCUGUUCGAGCGUCAUUUCACCACUCAAGCCUCGCUUGGUAUUGGGCGACGCGGUCCGCCGCGCGCCUCAAAUCGACCGGCUGGGUCUUCUGUCCCCUCAGCGUUGUGGAAACUAUUCGCUAAAGGGUGCCACGGGAGGCCACGCCGAAAAACAAACCCAUUUCUAAGGUUGACCUCGGAUCAGGUAGGGAUACCCGCUGAACUUAAGCAUAUCAAUAAGCGGAGGA
rnacentral:misc_RNA from 1 species